ACACCUCAACUCUCAUGGCUUGCCAUGAUGAGCUUGGACUUUGGGGGUCUUGCCGGCCUGCGGUCGGCUCCUCUCAAAUGAAUCAGCUUGCCAGUGUUUGGUGGCAUCACAGGUGUGAUAACUAUCUACGCUUGUGGUUCCCCACCAGGUAACCUUCAGUGAUGGAGGUUCGCUGGAGCUCAUAAACGUCUCUCCUCGGUGAGGACAGCUCUUUGAAC
rnacentral:misc_RNA from 1 species